AUGGUUGUGGCUCCCCCGUGGAACCCUAGAUCCCCUUCUAGGUUUUCCUGCCAUAGUUUCGGAGGUGCGGCGCUUCGGCCAAUCCGCUCGUUUCCUCCUCCCUUCCCCAUCCCCUCCGCCCCUGCUCCGUUCCUUUGCGCAGGCCGUGAAGAUGGGUUCCAAGUCCGAUCGGAGGGGGGAGAAGCCGCCCAUGGAGCCGCCGCGGGACCGCGCCCGUGGCCGCGACGACGACGAGGGUGGCUGGGGGCCACCGCCUGCCUGGUGGCUCGAGGAAUAGGAGAGGAAAAAAAGAAGAAGGAAGAGUAUCGGAAGAAGGGCCUCGAGCUCAAGAGAAAGGGGCAGCAGGCUGUUCAGGGCGGCGACCGCGCCGUCGACCUGCAAGCGAAGAAGCCGAAGCUCAAGCCUGCGGGGGCGGCGGCUUCCAAGCCUCCCCUCCCGCCCAGAUCCGCGCUGCCUAGCUCCUCCAAGGGCUCUAAGGAGGCGCCGAUCCCUAUCGAAGACGCCGACGGCCCUGGGUGCUUCAAGUGCGGCCGUUCUGGGCAUUUCCAGAGUACCUGCUCCUUCCAGCCGCUGUGUGUGGUGUGCAGUAAGGAGGGCCACACCUCGGCGCAGUGCCCUACGCGCGGCAAGCCUCUGCUCCUGCAAACCAUGGGGCACGCCAUCGCCGGCGAAGGCUUCUACUGCCUCCAGUUCCCGGACGAUGCAAGGGAGGCGACUCCGGUCCUCAUGGAGGCCAACAUGGCCGUGCUCUCCUCGCCUUCGGGUGUGCUCUCAAGGGAGAUCUUGGAGAGGGAGCUGCAGCACCUGUUUGAGGGCGCAUGGGAUUGGCAGAUCACACCAAUGGAUGGCGGCGCGUUCUCUGUGGUGUUUCCUGACCCGGUGAUGCUCCGGAUGGCGACCAGGAGUGGCAAGCUUUUUCUGUCCCUCAAUAACCUUAUGGUGGAUAUUCGCGAUGCGAUUCUUGACGCGCCCAAAGGACUAGAGAUGCUGGAGGUGUGGGUCAAGUUGGGUGGUGUUCCUCCGAAGCAACGACGCGCCGACCGUCUCAUGGCGGCCACCACCAUGCUUGGCCGCCCCCUGCAGGUUGAUGAGGAGUCCCUGCUUCGCCCCGGGCCGGUGCGCAUGCGCUUUGCCUGCCGCAACCCUCGCAAGCUCAGGGGGAGGGUAUAG
rnacentral:rRNA from 1 species